rnacentral:rRNA from 1 species
UACGUAGGGGGCAAGCGUUGUCCGGAAUCAUUGGGCGUAAAGCGCGUGUAGGCGGCUUGAUAAGUCUGCUCUGAAAGCCCGGGGCUCAACCCCGGGAGGCGGGUGGAUACUGUCAAGCUCGAGUCCGGAAGAGGAGUGUGGAAUUCCUGGUGUAGCGGUGAAAUGCGCAGAUAUCAGGAGGAACACCAAUUGCGAAGGCAGCUCGCUGGGACGUUACUGACGCUGAGACGCGAAAGCGUGGGGAGCAAACGGG